rnacentral:rRNA from 1 species
GUGCCAGCAGCUGCGGUAAUACGUAGGUGGCAAGCGUUGUCCGGAUUUAUUGGGCGUAAAGGGAACGCAGGCGGUUAUUUAAGUCUGAUGUGAAAGCCUACGGCUCAACCGUAGAAUUGCAUCGGAAACUGGAUAAACUUGAGUGCAGUAGAGGAGAGUGGAACUCCAUGUGUAGCGGUGAAAUGCGUAGAUAUAUGGAAGAACACCAGUGGCGAAAGCGGCUCUCUGGUCUGUAACUGACGCUGAGGUUCGAAAGCGUGGGUAGCAAACAGGAUUAGAUACCCUGGUAGUCCACGCUGUAAACGAUGAAUGCUAAGUGUUGGAGGGUUUCCGCCCUUCAGUGCCGCAGCAAACGCAUUAAGCAUUCCGCCUGGGGAUACGACGCAAGGUUGAAACUCAAAGGAAUUGACGGGGGCCCGCACAAGCGGUGGAGCAUGUGG